AGAAAAAAAAUAUCUUAAUGACAACGUCACCUCCAAUUUUUGACUAAUGUGAACCUUCGUAUCUUCUUCCUAGCACCUCUCUCUCUCUCUCUAGAACUCACCAAUCCCUAACCGAAAGCCCCUCUCUCUCUCAACUCACCGAUUCUAGGGUUCUUUUAGAUCACCGUUCCCAAUUCUGAAUUUCUUCGAUACCAAUUAUUACCGAUCUAUUCGAUUUUCCCUAUUCUUUCUUCUUGUCGGAGAAAAUUGACGGUCGAUGAACGUUUUUUUUUUUUUUUUGUUGUUGUGAUCUAGGAUUUCGAGUCAUUAGUUUCCUUUGAAUCUUCCAUUAUAAUUUAACUUUUCUUUGAUGAAAUCGAGGCUUUGCUUCAAAAGAGCUAUCUUGAUAUUUUAGAUAUUUUUUUUUUUGAAAAAAAUAAUGUGUGGUUGAUACGUUUUCAAGGUUUGGUUUGGUUAUACACCGGAAGUUUUGUACCGAGUUGCUUGAUUUUUGGAUUUGAGUUUUGUUUCUCUCGUCUGUUUUCUUAGGGUUCUUUUUAGGUUUUUUUCUAGUGUUCAUAAUGGUGAGUUCGGAGGGUUUGAGUGCUUCUUCGCCUCUGCCGCAUCAGCCGCCGAAGCAAUAUGGCGUGACGAGUCCAAUAUCUUUAGCGGGACCUACAGAGGCUGAUACACAGAGAAGCUUGGAGCUUGAGAAGUUUUUGGUUGAUGCUGCUCUUUAUGAAAGCGAGGAAGAAGCUGCCAAGAGAGAGAAGGUUCUUGAUCGUAUUAAGCAGAUUGUGAAAGAUUGGGUGAAACAACUCACUCGCUUGAGAGGGUACUCAGAUCAGAUGGUUGAGAAUGCAAAUGCUGUGAUAUUUACUUUUGGUUCUUACAGACUUGGGGUUCAUGGUCCCGGAGCUGACAUAGAUACUUUAUGUGUUGGGCCGUCUUAUAUAAAUCGAGAGGAAGACUUCUUCUUUAUACUGCAUAACAUCUUGGCAGAUAUGGAAGAAGUUACAGAACUGCAACCAGUUCCAGACGCUCAUGUCCCAGUUAUGAGAUUUAAGUUUGAUGGGGUAUCGAUUGAUCUUCUUUACGCAAGUGCAUCCCUUUUGGUCGUCCCAGAAGAAUUGGACAUCUCCCAUGUGUCUGUUUUGUAUGAUGUUGAUGAGCCAACUGUUCGGAGUCUUAAUGGAUGCAGAGUUGCUGAUCAGAUUCUUAAGCUUGUUCCAAAUGUUAAGCAUUUUCGCACUACACUCCGUUGUUUAAAAUUUUGGGCUAAAAGGCGUGGUGUUUAUUCAAAUGUGACUGGAUUUCUUGGCGGUGUGAACUGGGCUCUUCUUGUAGCUCGGGUGUGUCAGCUUUAUCCCAAUGCGGUUCCCAGUAUGUUGGUUUCCCGAUUUUUCAGGGUAUAUACGCAGUGGAAUUGGCCAAAUCCUGUGAUGCUUUGUGCAAUAGAAGAGGAUGCACUUGGAUUCUCUGUGUGGGAUCCGCGUAAGAAUCCUCGGGACCGAACUCAUCACAUGCCAAUCAUAACACCUGCCUACCCUUGCAUGAAUUCUAGCUACAAUGUGUCAGUUAGUACUCUUCGGGUUAUGAUGGAGCAGUUUCAAUUUGGUAACAAGAUCUGUGAGGAGAUAGAGUUGAAUAAAGACCAGUGGGGUGCUAUGUUUGAGCCAUAUUUGUUCUUCGAAAGCUAUAAAAAUUAUCUGCAGGUUGACAUAGUUGCAGCUGACGUUGAUGACUUGCGUGCUUGGAAAGGCUGGGUUGAAUCACGGCUUAGAUACCUGACUCUGAUGAUAGAGCGUGACACAUUUGGGAAGUUGCAAUGCCAUCCGUAUCCACACGAGUAUGUUGAUACUUCUAAGCAGUGUUGCCAUUGUGCCUUUUUUAUGGGUUUGCAAAGGAAACAAGGAGAGAGAGUACAAGAAGGCCAGCAGUUUGAUAUUCGCUCCACUGUUGAUGAGUUCAGGCAUUCGGUGAAUAUGUACAUGUUCUGGAAACCAGGGAUGGAAAUCUACGUUUCUCAUGUUCGUAGAAAGCAGAUUCCGUCUUAUGUUUUUCCAGAUGGUUAUAAAAGAAGUCGACUGCCAAGACUCACAAACCAGCAGACUGAAAAUCAAUCUCGGCAUGAUGGUGAAGUUUGUAGGUCUGGAUCUGGUGAAAGAUGCCUCAAGAGGAAAAAAGAUCAAGAAGAAGGGGUGGAUAUGAAGCAUGAUAGUCCAGAGAAACGACAAUCAAUUAGCUCCCAGCAGCGGGAUUCAGUUUCUCCUGAAAUUUUUAGUCAUAGGUUUGACAGCACCUCUAAGGGGUGUUUGGCAUCGUGUUCUAUUAAAAGACAAGAAAGUUCAGGAGGCAAUAAAGUGUGCCAGCUUGGCAUGGCCAAAAUGGGUGAUGCCCCUAUUAACUCGGGGAAUGCUGAGACUGGAGCUACUAGGAAUGAGUCACGGGAGAUGGUAGGUGGAGAUAAAGAAACCAGCCUAGAGCUAGUCAAAUCAGAUAAAGAGAUACCAUGCUCCAACAAUGCCGAGGCUGUUUGCCUCGCAAAUUCAAGUGUUGUCACAAACCUUUCAAGGGAGGUCAGCUCCUGGGAGGAUGUUGGAUUUGAGUCGGUGGUAGGUAGUAGUGAGGGUAACCCAGGAAGUUUUGCAGGGAGUAACAACCAGGGGUCUUCGCAGGGAUCAUGUGAAGGGGAUUCUGAGAUGCUUCUGGAUAAUGGGUGUGACAAUGGUGGCAGAGUGUAUCAAGCUGGAUUGCAGCAAGUGUUAGAGGGUGGAGUUAGCUUGGAACCUGUGCAGACGACAGUGAUAAGCCGGUUGAGUCUGACAUCGACAGCAUGAAAAAUAAAAGCUUGGAUCAAUUGGAAUCCUUAAUGCCUUGUCCAGGAGAGAGACAGAAAGCCAGCAGUUCGGUCUUCUUGGUCACCAACGAUACUUUUAACCUUGGAAGAUUUGGAGCUUUUAGAAUGGUACUCCAAUUGCCAAGUGAAUCAAUUUAGUUCAUAGAAACGUUCCAAGAUGUUUCGCCCCUCAAUUGGCAUAUGUGCAGGAGGCCUUUUUCCUCGAACAAGCUUAAUUGCAGAAUUAGUUAUUCUUGAUUGAGACGAUCUGAUGGAUGAAUCUGAUUUAGUAUAUUCUAAUAUGGUGUGAUAUAGCAAUGAGGUGUUUUUAUCUUUACAGGUGAUAUGUUGAUAUAUAGCAAUGAGAUGUUUUGGCUCCUCAAUUGACAUAUGUGGUGUGUGCAUACUUAUAUAUUUAUAUAGAGGCUUACCAAAUUUACUAUUUUUGAACUUUAGAUUUUUUGUCCACUUAUAUAUAAACAUAUAUUGACAGCAUGGUGGUAUUAUUAGUGUGGGGGGAGGGAGAGAGAGAUAGAGAGUCCUAACCCAUUGCAAAAAAAAAAAAAAACAGAAAAAGAAAAAAGGUUUGACCCAGGCCAUCCUUCUGGUCCGAAAAUAUUUGGGUUGGGCGCCAUGGGUUGAAGCUUGAUUUUGAGUUAUCUUGGGCCAGCCCAACCCAAAGUCGGGUUGAGGUUGGGCUCGGAUUGGGCUGGGUAGGGCCAGCCCAAGUUUUUACCCG